rnacentral:rRNA from 1 species
CCCUUAGAUGUUCUGGGCCGCACACGCGCUACACUGAAGGAGGCAGCGUGUACUCCUGGAUCGAAAGAUUUGGGUAACCCGCGAAUCUCCUUCGUGCUAGGGAUUGAGGUUUGCAAUUAUCCUUCAUGAACGAGGAAUUCCCAGUAAGUGCAAGUCAUAAGCUUGCGCUGACUACGUCCCUGCCCUUUGUACACACCGCCCGUCGCUACUACCGAUUGAAUGAUUUAGUGAGGACUUCGGACUGGGCCCGAUGCGGCUUUCGGGCUGCGUCGGUAUUCUGGAAAGAUGUCCAAACUGUAUCAUUUAGAGGAAGUAAAAGUCGUAACA